rnacentral:rRNA from 1 species
GACGAACGCUUGCGGCGUGCUUAACACAUGCAAGUCGAACGGAAAGGCCCUGCUUUUGUGGGGUGCUCGAGUGGCGAACGGGUGAGUAACACGUGAGUAACCUGCCCUUGACUUUGGGAUAACUUCAGGAAACUGGGGCUAAUACCGGAUAGGAGCUCCUGCUGCAUGGUGGGGGUUGGAAAGUUUCGGCGGUUGGGGAUGGACUCGCGGCUUAUCAGCUUGUUGGUGGGGUAGUGGCUUACCAAGGCUUUGACGGGUAGCCGGCCUGAGAGGGUGACCGGCCACAUUGGGACUGAGAUACGGCCCAGACUCCUACGGGAGGCAGCAGUGGGGAAUAUUGCACAAUGGGCGGAAGCCUGAUGCAGCAACGCCGCGUGCGGGAUGACGGCCUUCGGGUUGUAAACCGCUUUCACCUGUGACGAAGCGUGAGUGACGGUAAUGGGUAAAGAAGCACCGGCUAACUACGUGCCAGCAGCCGCGGUGAUACGUAGGGUGCGAGCGUUGUCCGGAUUUAUUGGGCGUAAAGGGCUCGUAGGUGGUUGAUCGCGUCGGAAGUGUAAUCUUGGGGCUUAACCCUGAGCGUGCUUUCGAUACGGGUUGACUUGAGGAAGGUAGGGGAGAAUGGAAUUCCUGGUGGAGCGGUGGAAUGCGCAGAUAUCAGGAGGAACACCAGUGGCGAAGGCGGUUCUCUGGGCCUUUCCUGACGCUGAGGAGCGAAAGCGUGGGGAGCGAACAGGCUUAGAUACCCUGGUAGUCCACGCUGUAAACGGUGGGUACUAGGUGUGGGGUCCAUUCCACGGGUUCCGUGCCGUAGCUAACGCUUUAAGUACCCCGCCUGGGGAGUACGGCCGCAAGGCUAAAACUCAAAGGAAUUGACGGGGCCCCGCACAAGCGGCGGAGCAUGCGGAUUAAUUCGAUGCAACGCGUAGAACCUUACCUGGGUUUGACAUGGAUCGGGAGUGCUCAGAGAUGGGUGUGCCUCUUUUGGGGUCGGUUCACAGGUGGUGCAUGCCUGUCGUCAGCUCGUGUCGUGAGAUGUUGGGUUAAGUCCCGCAACGAGCGCAACCCUUGUUCACUGUUGCCAGCACGUUAUGGUGGGGACUCAGUGGAGACCGCCGGGGUCAACUCGGAGGAAGGUGGGGAUGACGUCAAGUCCUCAUGCCCCUUAUGUCCAGGGCUUCACGCAUGCUACAAUGGCUGGUACAGAGAGUGGCGAGCCUGUGAGGGUGAGCGAAUCUCGGAAAGCCGGUCUCAGUUCGGAUUGGGGUCUGCAACUCGACCUCAUGAAGUCGGAGUCGCUAGUAAUCGCAAAUCAGCAACGCUGCGGUGAAUACGUUCCCGGGGCC